AGGUCACAUUUUAAUCCUAUUUUGAUGAAACUUGAAAUGUAAGUUUAUAACCCAAAGAUUUCGUUUCCAUUUGAUAUUCCCCAUAUUGGAACGUAGCUUCCUGAAUUAUGGCCCCUGAUUGUACGAAAAAUCGCAAUUUUAGCUUGUGGAGCCCAUAGAGGUCAUAAUUUUUAUCCGAUUUAAAAAAACGUAUUAUUAUAUCACCGAUAGACCCUAAGGAGGACUGAGUUCGAAAUUCGUAAAAAUCGGCCCAAAACUGACAGACAAAAUGGCCGCCCUUCAUUCUAAAAUUGCAUAAAAAUAUGGUAUAUCAACCAUAUAACCCAAAGAUCUCGGUUCCUUUCGAUAUUCGCGCAUAUCGGAACGUAACUUCCUGAAUUAUGGCCCCUGAUUGUACGAAAAAUCACUUUAUUUUUAGCUUGUUCUCUAUCCAUCUCUCGAAAAUGUGGGCGUAUCCUGCCUGGCAGCCGCUGGUUUUGAUUCUUUGAUAGCACUUUCCUAUCUACCCGUAAUACAUUUAUAUCCCCCAAACUCAUCCAUUCCCGAGAUAUUGGUGUUUUAAGGUGCCAAUGGCGGCCACAUUGGAUUUCUGCUAAUUGUUGGCCAUAUGACGUUAUGACGUCACAAGGAAGUCGUCUGGCAUUGUUUUUCUAGUUCUUUGGUAGCACUUUCAUAUCUACUCGUUAUACAUUUACAUCCUCCAAACUGAACCAUUCCCGAGAUAUCAGAGUUUUAAGUUUCAAUGGCGGCCAUAUUGGAUUUAUGCUAAUUAUUGGCCGUAUGACGUCAAUGAACGUCUUUUAGCUAUGUUUUUCUGGGUCAUCUGUACCACUUUCCUAUCUACCCGUAAUACAUUUACACCCGAGAUAUUGGAGUUUCAAGGUGCCAAUGGCGGCCAUAUUGGAUUUAUGCUAAUUACUCGAAAAUCUAUCUUUUUAUUUUGGGCGAUUUUUGUUUGGGAGCCCUUCAGGGACACCUCUACCAGAUUCCAUCUAGAAAAAUUCUGUUCUAGGUAUCCACUCCAUAUGGGUUAUCUUUACCCGACUAUAGGAUCUGGAAGAGUUGUUAUAUAACAUACCUUUCUGGAUGGCAUGAGGUAUUAGCCAAUGAAACCAUCUGUUACGGCGACUUCUUGGCGUGCCAUGCAUGGAACUGUGGGUAAACCAGUAAAGACGUCAACGCUGAUUGAUUAAUCAGUGUCUGACCUCAUAGGGUCAAAAGCGCUUGUACGACCCCUGACGCGACCUUUCGGUAAAACUAUUCAGAUCUUCAUAUAGUGUAGGCCAUCAAAAGUAUAAAAAAACGAAACGAAACAUAGAUCUGUAUUUUAAUCAGAUUGAUUUCAGUAUAAUACCCUAAACAACAUCCCAGAAAUGUUCCAAAAUAUUUUUAGUGGAAUGGGAUCAAAUUGCCUAAUUGUUUUGAAAAUUUGACUUAAUGGAAUAACUAGGAUAUCAAAUUUUCAAAUUUGGUGGGAAUUGUGUCUAACUAAACCCAUGUUUUCGCGGCCAGGGAAGCAAAUAAACACAUUUUGAAUAUAAUCACUUUAUUACAUAAUGCACAAUAUAUGCAAAUUGACAGCUGCCAUCAGUGAAAAACUUAUUUUUCCCCCGAAAUCUGAAACUCUUUGACUUAGCUCCAUGAAACCAGUACCUACACCCAUAAUUUCAGGGUCAAGGGUACUGAAAAACACUAGGAGAACAGCACAGUUAUAUUGCAUAAUAUAGAAUGUACAAAUUAGAUACCUCAGCCAUGACUGAAACACCCGUUUAGUCCAAACUAAAAAAACAUUUGCAAUAAUCUGAAAAAUCAAGUUCCCAGAUCAAUUUUAGCAUGGUCAAAGAAUGUAAUAAAAGUAUCUGUACCUCAUUAUGGAGAACAUUUGACUGAUGGCGUUAGUUAGAGUGGUUCAGGGUCAGAAGAAAAUCCAUCUGACAGAUAGAUAUUAUUUGGGGUUUAUUAUAACAUUAUAUGAAAAGGCUUACCAUAAACAUUUCAUUCAUCAACAAUUUAAAUCUGGUCAUGUUUGAUUUUUAAGGAUAUAACCAUCUGGACAUGUGCUUUUAAACUGCUGAAAAAAUGAUCAGCUCUGUUAAUCUGUAUAAAUAUUAUGUUUCAUACUUACCUUUGUUUAUAUGUGUGACGUCACUUCCGCCUGAUGGAUCUCGCGAGAGAUGCAAGAUGGGAGUGAGAUUUGGCAGUUGUAUAGAUGGCAACCAGAAAAUAAAGUUCGUCAGAAAUUUGAGUUGUGGUUAAUUAUCCAAUUUAAUAGGCUCCCAUUCUCAAGGGAGUUAAAUCUUAGUGACAAAACGAGUUAAAGAUACAUUCCCGUGUACAAACUAGGUGAUUUGGUGAUAUAUUUGGACUAAAAACAUAUUCAAACUAAUUUAUCCAUCACAAAUUUGCUUCAAAUCCAUCUGAAAGCACUGGUAUCGUCGGGAAACCACAUACGGGAUAAAAACCUAUUUUAAGAGUCCAUGUUUGUCACGUGAUUUGGCCGAGGGAGAAUUCGUUGAAGACGACGUGUAUCGCUGCAUACAUAUCUGGACGUGUUGACCCGAGGUGGGGAAUUUAUGCGGCCGUCAACACAGAUUACACAAAAAGAAAACGAACUAUGGAAAGUGAAAGUUCAGUGGUAAUUAAAAUUUACUUUAUUGUUAAAAUUAAGAUUCCUUCUUGUACACAGACGUCUGGAAUUUGAUUCGGGAUUAUUAUAGCUUACCGAAAAAAUCUUUGUCACUACACUAAUGUCAGUUAACUUUUUUUAUUUCUUUACGUUAAUCUAUCUAGUUUAAAAAACAAGAACAAAUAUCAUGAUAGCACUCUUUCAUAACGCGAUAUUAUAACUUGGAAGGGCCUGUCUGAUAGAAAUUCCUGCAAUAGGCCUAUAUGGACAUAGCUACUAUUUUUUUUGGUUUGGGAGUAUUCCAAUUUUUAACACCUGUCCCUUAAAAUAAUAGAUAAAUUUUCAUUCUUUGGUUUAUUAUUCAAUGUGCACAAGACUGUAAUGUAGACUUCCCAAAUGCUCAAUAUUUCCUUUUGUAACAAAAUUUAUAAGAUUAUAUUGAUAUAUUUAUUUUCAAGAUAUUCCUAAUCAGGGGGCAGGAGAUUCUAAUAUGUAUGCUUUAGAACAUAAGGUCGGUCAUUGAGUUAAAUGACAUGGUGUCGAUCCCACAUGUGUGACAUGUACGUGACACGAGUCGUCUGUCCAACCUUUGGGGUUUCUUCAACUCCUACUACUAAAGACUCAAACUUUUGUAAAAACUCAAAUGUGCAAACAAAUUAUUGAAAUAAAAUUGAACCAUGUUAGACCCAAAUUAACUUAUUGUGUGCAAAGUGGAUUUUAAGCCUCAUCUGCAUCUAUUCUUUUCAAACAUAUGUUCCUUAUAAUAUCAUCCAUUGAUAACAAGUCUGCAAUUCGAAAUACUCAUUGUCUUGUUUCGAGGUCUGGUUCAAGUGAGGAUUCUCCUUUAGCGGUAGCUCCAGUGGUAAGAAGUAGGGGCAGAGGAAGAUACCGUUCUAGGGGCAGGGGUCGAGACACAUGUAUUUCUACAUCAAGGGCAAAAGGCACACCAAGCAAAGCAGUUUUGGAGGAGGACAAACAAAGAUUAGCUGGACGAAUGGAAAAGAGAAGACAACAACUUAUAACAACUAACUAUAAAUGCUGUUGAUACAAGACUCAAGCACCAGGUAUAGUUCACCUGACUGGUGUGUUUGUAACUACUGUAGAGAUGGAAGUGGAUAUAGAAUGUGUUUGCUGUGGAUGCCAACCAGCUUUUUGUAUUUUCACAUAAUUGAAAUGGAUCAAAAUGUUUUAGCCAUUUCCAAUGGUUACUUUAGAGAUGUGAUGGGUAGACAUGGUAAACUACAACAAAACAGCAAGAUAUACAGCAUACAGAAAUUCCACAUUUUGGAGGCAUAGAUAUCUUGGUACCAGCAUUAGAAGAGUUGUCCCAAGUUGUGUUACUAAUGCGUAUCCAACAAAUGUUCCCUAGUGCAACUGGACACUUUAUGCAUUUUCGACACAGUAAUAGAUUCCAGUAAUAGGGGUGAACCGGAUAAUCCAACUAUCUACCUGUACGAUUAAUGAUAAAUAUCUAGGAAAUUCUAAUUUUAACAUUUAGUACAAUUUACUAUCCAAAUCUCAAUUUAUUAUUGCAAGAAGUUCCUUUGUUGGUGGAGGUGUCACAGCUGCACUCUUUCUUUUUAUACUCCUGGGAUCAUCAUCUGCAAGUUUAUUGAAAUACUUGAGGGAUUGGACCCUGGUGACUUUUAAUUUGAUCCAGUAUUCCAACCAGUAUAGCAACCAUAUAUUCAUAUUCUUUCUCAACUUUUAACAGGAACCACAUUCCAAGUAUAUUGGGGGAUCACGGUGGCUAAGUGGGUAAGGCGCUGGCUCGCUAGCCUGGAGGUCGGGUGUUCGAUCCCUGCAUUGGCCGAGAAAGUUCAUCCAGAUUUUCCGGCGUGGUUUCCCCUUGUCAGUGAUGCAGGACGGAGGGCCUGACAAGGACAGCUGUCUAGUCAUUCGGAUGAGACAAAAAACCGAGGUCCCGUGUACACAUUGGCGUGCACGUAAAAGAUCCCUUGACAGUUGGAAUUCGAUGUAAGAGUAGGCCGUAGUGCCGCUGUCCGGGCAAAAUUUCCCUCAUAGCACACUGCUUGGCGUAUGCCCGUCUUCAUUAGCCCAGUUCGGAGCAAAACAGUAGGACGUUAAACCCCAUUUCAUUUCAUUUCAUUUCCAAGUAUAUUGUUCUUUUUUUUUAGAAUACAUCCUGUGAAAUCUGUAAAAUUUUGUAAUAUAUUGUAUUGACAAUUAAAAAGAAUAUUUGGAAUAACAAGUUGUAUUUUGUUUUGCCAGGAAUGCAGGUGGGCAGGGGGUUAGCACCCACUUGAUACAAACUAGGUCAUUUCUGGACUAAAUAAGGUACCAAGUUGUCAGUAGCAGUGGGAGGAAAAAGGGGGACCCAAACAAAAGCCACGAUGGAUAGAUAAUCAACCCUACUCCAUAUCAUGUCCUUGUGUCGCUGGUAUUUAAAAAUAUUUUUGUAGCGUACAUUAAAUGAGCUAAAUCGCUAA